AAGGUAGCGAAAUUCCUUGUCGGGUAAGUUCCGACCUGCACGAAUGGCGUAACGAUGGCCACACUGUCUCCUCCUGAGACUCAGCGAAGUUGAAAUGUUUGUGAAGAUGCAAUCUCCCCGCGGCUAGACGGAAAGACCCCAUGAACCUUUACUGUAGCUUUGCAUUGGACUUUGACGGGACUUGUGUAGGAUAGGUGGGAGGCUAUGAAACCGGGACGCCAGUUCCGGCGGAGCCAUCCUUGAAAUACCACCCUGGUGUCGUCGAGGUUCUAACCCAGGCCUGUGAAUCCAGUUCGGGGACCGUGCAUGGUGGGCAGUUUGACUGGGGCGGUCUCCUCCCAAAAGGUAACGGAGGAGUACGAAGGUCACCUAGGUACGGUCGGACAUCGUACUGAUAGUGCAAUGGCAAAAGGUGGCUUGACUGCGAGACCCACACGUCGAGCAGGUGCGAAAGCAGGUCC
rnacentral:rRNA from 1 species